AAAUAUACCUCUUCCUUUCAGUUUUUACUGAAUGGUGCAGCUGAAACAGUCACUUCACUUUGUUUGUCAAAACCUAAAACGGAGGAACCACAAGGUUUCUUCCAAACUAAAAGGUUAUUUUUUCUUACCAUCUGUUUGGACGUUGAGCAGAGGCGCGGUUUAGAGCCCGUGGUGACGCUGCUAUCUGAGGGACUGUCAUCCUGAAGGAAAUGGAGGACAGUAAUACAAGUAUUUAUAGAACAAACCAACAGAAAUUCAGUGUCAGUAUUAGAGAGCUUGGUGUGAGAUGAAAACAACUUGGACACACAGGAUAAAUGGUUGCUGCUGGCUGUUGAAGUGUCGGGCAGUGUGACAACUAUUGUUCAGAGCCGGUCCCGUCCACAAGGUUACAGUCUGUUGUGUUAUUUAUGCCCUGAGUGCUUUCCAGUGCGGACACAGUGCAGCAAGUGGCCUGGACACCAAACACACAUCAAGUCUCAUGAGUUAAGCCCGUCUGGAGAAUUUCAGGAUAUUAACCAGACUUCAGUGAAUGUCUGAAAGCAGCUCUACUGACGACUAUAUCAAAGUAAAGCAACCCAGCAGAGUCUUGCAGUGGUUUGCUGACCUGCUGAUGGCCGCCCAGGUCUUCUUGAGGCGAUACACAGCGUUGGACUGCAGCGCUGACAGGAUCGCCCUCAAGGAGGAGAAAUUCUUCAACUCUCUACACUCCUACACAGACAGAUAAAAAGGUUUUGUUAUGCUUUUAAAAAAAAAACUACAGUCAUUUAUGUCAGUAACUUAAAAUUACUCUCCACCCUGACCUGUGCAACAGUGAUCCACCUCUCAAUGAUGGUUGCUCUGUGGGCAGGGCUGGCGCGCGUGCAGCGAGGUGAGCUCGGGGCCGUGGAGGGGUACAGGAAGGGAGAGGACGAGAUGGGCGAUGAGAUGGGAGAGGAAGUGGGAGGGCUGGGUGAGGACGGACAGAGGAGUGAGGUGAUGACACGGUUGGUGAUGGCGUUGAACUGGAAGAUGGUGGCGCGGACGGUGGGCGCCAAGUUUCUGCUUUCUUUCUUGUCACGCUGGGACCAGACGCAGCCCAGGCAGUGGAAGGGCACCACUCUGACAAACAGAUCCUGAGGGAGAGACCAGGACAAGGACACACAGUGCGGGUUAGUGACCAGCUGUGACGCGGAAAACACCUUUCAGAUGUUUGUAAAUGAAACCUACAGCGUCCAGUCUGGUCAGCUGCUCCGAUACUUCUGUAACAGGGAAGUCCAUAAAGCUGUGUUUGUCCUCCUCCUUAGCGGACAUGUCACCUCCGUCCUCCUCGUCCCCCGGAUCCUGCUGCAAUGAUUUACCACCGUGAUGUGACGCAGACCGGUUGCAAUCUGUCACACACAUAGAAUCAUAAAUGAUAAUCAAACAUGCUGCUCAUGGAAACCUCACAAAACAUUGACAAACAGGUAAUGAUGCAUCACUUAUGUGGGAGAGAAAAUUGGUGCCAGUAUAUUUUUAAGUUUCAUUUCACUGGAUCAUUUUAGCAUAUUGCGCCAUGUAAAGCACAUUUCUUUAUUAAUAUACACUAGUGCAGUGCCUGUUCUAAAUCUGUUUAUUAAAUCUCUGGAGCCACUUCAGAAUUAUUCCUUGUCAUUAGUUAGUCCUCCUCAAACAGAUUUACAAUAUUCGGUCACUUUUUUUUUUAUUUGUGUGCAGAGCUGUUUAUAGUCGAUGAUGCAGAGUGAAGUCAGAGGGGGUUCAUUCUAUCUUGUUUAUCGGCGGUGAAGAUUUUAUGUUCAAUGUUUUUUAAUCAAAUGCUUCAAUCUUCAGACCCAAUUUCACAACUUUUCAAAUGAAAAGCUCUGUAGUCAAGCAUGCUAACAUUAGAAAGAUGGCUCAGACACCUCGCAAAUCCUCUCAGACUUAUUUUUCAGUUACAGUAAUGUUUUUUUUUUUUUUUUUACAUUGUACAGCGUCUAUUUCUCAGUAAAUAAAAAAAAAAAUCGAAGCAAAAAAAGAUCAAACAAACAACUUUUAGGAACAUAUGCGACCAUCUACGGAGUUUGGUCCUCCAUCUUUUAUUUUUGAGCUUUGGGCUCUUUAGACGUGAGCAUAAAUGCGAUCUGAUUGGCUAGUGCCUGUGCUAUCGUAUUUGCAUGAAAGGUGCUGUGAACCGGUGCCCAGCUUGAGAGAGCUCCUGUGUGUAGCUGAAUGUAAAUGGCUAAGUGGUAAAUGGUUUUGUAUUUAUAUAGUGCUUUUCUAGUCUUGAUGACCACUCAAAGCGCUUUACAGUACAGUUCUACAUUCACCCAUUCACACACACAUUCAUACAGUGCAUCUAUUUGCAGCACUUAGUUAUUCUAUGGGGGGCCAUUCGGGGUUCAGCAUCUUGCCCAAGGACACUUCGGCAUGCAGAUGGGUCAGACUGGGGAUCGAACUACCCCUCAGCCACAGCCGCCCACUGUGCAUUGCUGACUGAAAGAUAACGUCUUCUGCCUCAAUUUAUCCGUUCGCUACAAUAUGAUGGAUUCAUGUCAAUGUGUAUCUAAAGACAAUAUAUACAAUUUUGGUUCUGAAGACAUGAAUUUUGUGGAGAAAAAAAAUUUGAAAAAAAAAAAUAUAUAUAUAUAAAAAAUGUUCUUAUCAUCCCAAAAUCUCGUGACCCCCCUGUUGAAGACCACCGAUUUAAUGUAUUGAGCUUCUAAAUCGUUCCAAACUCAGCACUGGACUUUCUUGGACAAUUUACAAUAUCCUUGCAAAGUGUGAAGCUGAUUAGAUGAAUGCUUUUCAAGAUAUGCAUUCCACACACAGACAGAGACUUCUGUGAAAUGUUUGUGCAUAUACAGUUUAUGUAUAAUCAUGAUUUAAAUCUGCUAAUUUAAAUAUAUCAACGUGUAAAUAAAGUGA